CCGAGCUUAUAGAGUAGCAUUGGCUGAUGUGGAGCCUCCCUGCAUCCCUUACCUCGGGUUGAUCCUGCAGGACCUGACCUUCGUACAUCUGGGCAAUCCAGACCUGAUUGAUGGGAAAGUAAACUUCUCCAAGCGCUGGCAACAGUUCAACAUCCUGGACAGCAUGAGGCGCUUCCAACAAGUACACUACGAGCUGAAGAGGAACGAUGACAUCGUGGCGUUCUUCAACGACUUCAGCGACCACCUGGCCGAGGAGGCAUUGUGGGAGCUUUCACUGAAGAUCAAGCCACGCAACAUCACACGGCGCCGGAAUGAGCGUGACGAGAAAACCUAGAGCGAGCAAAACGCCUCUAGAAACUUUUCCAGACAGCACAGAGGGAGUGAUGGGAAACCUGGAGUUUUCAGUGAUGGGAGAAAAAAAACACAUGCAAGAUUUUAAUGAACAGAGUGGAGCAAAGGCAAUAUUUCCCCAAGAGAUGAGUAAUAUACUAAUAUAUGCAUACAUAUAUACACACACACACACACACACACUGGAAGACUUCUUCUUUCGUAUAUUUGUGUGCGAAUGUGUGUGUGUGUGAGAGAGAGAGAGACACACACAGAGAGAAAUAUAGAAGCGCUUGCUUGUUCUCAAUCACUGUGUCUACAUCAGUGAUGAACACUAAAGAGGCUCAUCAGAAGGUUGGGGUUACCCAUAAUGCCCCACUGCUGGGACUUCCUGUUCAGUAUAAAGCAGGGUCGAAUGGAAAAGAAA